UUCUAAAAAUUACAUUUAGCCCCAGAAGUUUUGUUGCAUUUGUGAUUUGGUCCUUCAGACAGAUUACGUGAUUUGGGGCACCUACUUCCCAGAUUUUCAGGCCAAAAACAUGGGUGGUUGUUCCUUCUUCACCCACUACCUGCAAAUGGCAUAAAAAAUAAGCAAAAUGGUAGAAAUGAAAAAGAAACACAAAAAAAAAGAGAGGAUUCUCCCAUUUGAAAAAAAAAGAGCAAAAAAAAACAAAAAAAAUAUUAGCAAUCAAGAGAAAAAACGUAGAAAUGUGGAUCUUCGAUUUCAUUUUAUUUGUUUUCAUUUCGUUUUAACUUCUUCUUAGUUUCCUUUCAAAUUUACUGCAAAUCAAUAAACAAAAAGGGGGUUUUGUUUUCAAAUACAAAAAGGGGGUUGUAUUACACAGAUUAUUAAUAAAAAGGAGAACAAAAAAAGGUUGUUUUCAUAUUUUCUUUCCUUGGUUUUUUUUUCUUUCUUUAGAUUUUUUUAUUUUAUUUUUUGUGUUAAAUCUUUUAAAAAAAUAAAAAUAAAAAACAAAAGAUGGGCUGAAAACUUACCUAUUCUUCGCGUCCCGCCCCCAUCGGAGAUUCCCCGAUCCAAAAGGGCCACGAAACCCCUCAGGUUUCUCGUUUAGGC
rnacentral:lncRNA from 1 species